rnacentral:rRNA from 1 species
CGAGCGGCAGACGGGUGAGUAACGCGUGGGAAUCUACCCAUCUCUACGGAACAACUCCGGGAAACUGGAGCUAAUACCGUAUACGUCCUUUGGAGAAAGAUUAUCGGAGAUGGAUGAGCCCGCGUUGGAUUAGCUAGUUGGUGGGGUAAUGGCCUACCAAGGCGACGAUCCAUAGCUGGUCUGAGAGGAUGAUCAGCCACACUGGGACUGAGACACGGCCCAGACUCCUACGGGAGGCAGCAGCU